GAAUGUUUUAGUGAAGUCCUCGGAUUGUUAGCUUCGCGGUUAACGCUGCAUCGCUAACGAAAAGACGACUAAACUGUAGCAUUUAGAGGAAGUAAAAGUCGUAACAAGGUUUCCGUAGGUGAACCUGCGGAAGGAUCAUUAA
rnacentral:rRNA from 2 species